rnacentral:rRNA from 1 species
GAUGAACGCUAGCGAUAGGCUUAACACAUGCAAGUCGAGGGGUAACGUGUUGGAAGCUUGCUUCCGAUGACGACGACCGGCGGAUGGGUGCGUAACGCGUAUGCAACUUGCCUCACAGAGGAGAAUAACCCGGAGAAAUCCGGACUAAUGCUCCAUACACUCUUUAGCACGCCUGUGCGUAAGAGGAAAGAUUUAUCGCUGUGAGAUAGGCAUGCGUCCUAUUAGGUAGUUGGUGAGGUAACGGCUCACCAAGCCGACGAUAGGUAGGGGUGCUGAGAGGCAGAUCCCCCACAUUGGGACUGAGACACGGCCCAA